AUUGAACGCUGGCGGCAGGCUUAACACAUGCAAGUCGAGCGGGGGAAGGUAGCUUGCUACCGGACCUAGCGGCGGACGGGUGAGUAAUGCUUAGGAAUCUGCCUAUUAGUGGGGGACAACAUCUCGAAAGGGAUGCUAAUACCGCAUACGUCCUACGGGAGAAAGCAGGGGAUCUUCGGACCUUGCGCUAAUAGAUGAGCAUAAGUCGGAUUAGCUAGUUGGUGGGGUAAAGGCCUACCAAGGCGACGAUCUGUAGCGGGUCUGAGAGGAUGAUCCGCCACACUGGGACUGAGACACGGCCCAGACUCCUACGGGAGGCAGCAGUGGGGAAUAUUGGACAAUGGGGGGAACCCUGAUCCAGCCAUGCCGCGUGUGUGAAGAAGGCCUUAUGGUUGUAAAGCACUUUAAGCAAGGAGGAGGCUACUUUAGUUAAUACCUAGAGAUAGUGGACGUUACUCGCAGAAUAAGCACCGGCUAACUCUGUGCCAGCCGCCGCGGUAA
rnacentral:rRNA from 1 species